rnacentral:rRNA from 1 species
UCUUACCGGAGUGGGUAUCGGUGCGCUGAGCGCCGGGCUGGCCUGCAGGAUUGCAUCAGUUAAAAGUCUCUCGCCGCUUGGACGGCCGGUGGAAAUUUUCGGGACCAUCUGUCUAUUAUUGAUAUCAUUUAUACUCGCAUUCCACGAACCGUCAAAGGACCUGGCCGAUUGGACACCGAAGCACUGGUGGUGGUUGGUC